GACAAAAAAGCUCAAGGCAGGAACAGCAGCCCAGGGACCUGAGACCAGCGUUCUCAAAUGAAGGUGCCAGAUCUGCUGUUAGAGGAGAAUUCUUCUGUCCUAGCUGUGUCUCUGUGAUCUGUGGAUGAGGGUGGGAAAGCACCACUCAGUCAAUUGGGGUGUACAAAAUGGAGUUUGAGAAGGUCUCACAUCCAGGUUGUUUUGAAGCAAAGUCCAAGCAUUGUAUCACUUCAUCUGCAAAUAUUUCAAUAAGUACCCAAAAGUGGUUGGACUGAGUCCCAUGAAGCCAGAUCACUUCUGACUGCAAGGAGCUUGGAAAAGCAAGUAUCUGGAUCUUUUACCAGCUAAAUUUGGAGCGAUGAGGCUUCCUCUUUGAAGAUCACAGGUGAGAAGAUUAGGUGCUUUCUCAGAAGCCCAGCAACCUGAUGGGAGUGUGGAGUGAGCAAGACCCAAAUCGGAGCUUCAUCCCUGCAUGGUUCAUUUUGCUUAUUUGGCAAACUUGCCCUGCAGAAUCUACUCAAGCUUCCUCAGUUUCUCAAAUCAUUCUUGGGCAACAAAUGAACAAGAAAGAGGACGUCUUAUUAUCUGGUGUCUGGCUUGCUGAUUUAAUAACCUAGGAGACAGUGUUUGAAGAACACAAACUCUAAAGUCCUUCACUUAAAAAAAAAAAAAAACUUUCCCAAAUUGCUUACCAUUUGGAAAAAUUGCCUUACCUUCUUCAGUCAUCUCUGAUGUUGUCAUCCUCAGAGUAAGAAGUACGCAUUCAUAAGGAACCAUAACGUCCUUCAGGAAAUCCAGUACACCCUACAAUUUUACCUAAAACUUUGAUGUUGUUUUUUCUGAGCAUUUUACCUUCUAGGGAAAUGGAUCUCAUGCUGUUUAUCAGUUUCUGAAAGUUGUUAUUAAUCUCCCCUCAUCCCAAAAUUGAAGAACUUUGCUUAAAUCUUAGAAUCAGAACUUUGGCUCCAGUAAUAAAGACUUUUCAAUAUCUUUAUCUGCCAUUGAGUCUUACCUAACGAAAUAAAGCCUCCAAAGUGGGAA
rnacentral:lncRNA from 1 species